ACCCAACUGGCUCAGUAGGAAGAGUAUGCGACUGUUGAUCUGAGGUUGUGAGUUCAAGCCUUAUGUUGGGUG
rnacentral:tRNA from 1 species